rnacentral:rRNA from 1 species
UGGGGAAUAUUGGACAAUGGGCGAAAGCCUGAUCCAGCCAUGCCGCGUGUGUGAAGAAGGUCUUCGGAUUGUAAAGCACUUUAAGUUGGGAGGAAGGGCAGUAAGCGAAUACCUUGCUGUUUUGACGUUACCGACAGAACAAGCACCGGCUAACUCUGUGCCAGCAGCCGCGGUAAUACAGAGGGUGCAAGCGUUAAUCGGAAUUACUGGGCGUAAAGCGCGCGUAGGUGGUUCGUUAAGUUGAAUGUGAAAGCCCCGGGCUCAACCUGGGAACUGCAUCCAAAACUGGCGAGCUAGAGUAGGGCAGAGGGUGGUGGAAUUUCCUGUGUAGCGGUGAAAUGCGUAGAGAUCUGGAGGAAUACCGAUGGCGAAGGCAGCCAUCUGGCCUAACACUGACGCUGAGGUACGAAAGCAUGGGGAGCAAACAGG